ACGGCACGUGCGCCCUUAGUUAUAAGUAGCAUGAUCUAAAAAAUGAUCACAAAAAAAUACAAAAAAUAGUGAUAAUGAACUUGUAAACUAAGUUUUAUGUUUAUGUUGCCAACACUGUAUGGAUUUUGAUGUACACAUGCACAGGCCAGAUACAUACAGAAAAUUAUAAAUUAAUCGGUUCAAUAUAUAAGUAUGGUUUUUAUUCUUAUCAAAGAUACAAGGCUUAUAAUAUAGCACGCCAGAAGUCGCACUAAGAAAUUAAUUUAAUGAUUUUUAUCUCAGAAAAAAUCCGACAUAACCAGUCUCCAUAGAAAAGAACAGGCAGGUUGACAAACUGCAUGCAUUUUUGUUGCCCAACCACUUUAUGCUCACAUAUAAAGUCUUUUUAAUAUGACAUUCAAAAUGCUAAUGAUGAUACACAUUACUGUUCAAUAAGUUAUAUUUCCGUUUUCUAUCAUUUAAACAAUAUUUUCCUGUUUAUCACCAGACAAACAAUUGUUUCAGGAAAUAUACAAGGAAAUUAUAUUACUUGCAUCAAAUAUAUUGGGGAAACUUUCUAACCAUCAUUAGAGAAUUUCAACAAAAAUGAGAUUCCUGCUCUUGGUUGUUAUUCACAUCGUUCUGGCAGAAGAUACAUUUGGUGAAAUUGUACUGUCAAACAUAACAACAAAUCAUUAUGUAGGAGAAACAGUUAUUUUGUCAUGCAUUUUUUCUGAUGAAGCCUCAGGAAACAGAUGGCGCCGUGCUGGUGCAAUUAUUGCAACAUCCUCGAAUGUAACCUUGGCAGACCCUGAGGGUAAACGAUUCAAUGUCGUCGAGGACAAAGAACAAGACAUAUAUAAUAUUGAAAUAUCUGAUGUGACACAAUUUGAUUCUGGUCUUUACUGGUGUGAAAUGCAAAGAGGUGGGCAGAUUACACAGCAAAGGAUCACAUUGUUCAUAUUAGGCAAGUUAAAUUUUAGAUAUAUUUUCAAAAUGGUAAAAUGUCUACCAAAUUUAAACGUGAAAUUUGCAAUAUUCUGCAGCACAUGCUUCCGAGUUGAUACGACAUUCCAAGGUUUACAUUUCCUAUGCUACUUACAUAAAAGCUAAUGUACAAAGAGUUCCAAGUGUGAAAAUGCCUUCAAAAGUUUUCCAUAAGCCAUCAUGAUUCGGUUGACCGUUAUGGAAUAUCAGUGUCACAGAAGACCACGGAUAUGUUCCACUUGCGAAAUCACAAUUUCGAUCUCUUUCCUUAAUUUUGACAUUACGGAAUGCAACUUAUCCCAAGAUAUUACUUGUAAUACUAUUGAUUUUCCUAUCUCUCUCAUGAUUUAUCCUUAAAUACAUUCAGUUUUGUUGUUACAUCCAAUAUUUUCUCAGAUGUUUACAUUAUCAUUUAAAAACAAACUACAUCAAAAAAUAUGUUAGGCCACAGAAAAGACGCCCCUUAACAUAAAUGUCCCUGAAAAAAUACUAUAUAUUACAAUGCAUUAUUUUCUUUUGCAAAACCAUUGCACCUAAAGUAUUUAACUAUAAGCAAGCAUUGCAGGACCUUGAUUUAGAAGAAUACCUAUAAACCGCUCUGACAUAUGACUGUUCCCACUCGCCUUGUAUGUACAGCCCCUCUGGCCAUGUUAUUACUGGGGAUCUAAACAUAAUUCAACAUGAACAUCUUCAAAAGGUAAUAUCUCAUGGUACUAAGUUCAGAGAACCCCAACACAUCAAUUAGAACCAUAAAUUCAAUAUAACUAUGGAUUCCAUUGAGGACUACGCCAGAGCAUGGGCUUAACGAGAAGAAGUUGAACUGGACACUUUGUCAGAAUGGAUCAAAACAAUAAGGUCUCUGAUAAAACGUCGAAUUCAUAAGCUGAAAAACUGUGUGAAUGAUCGACCAAUGUCCGUUUUCAGAGACAAAGAAGCUGUGAAAUGUCCAUCAUCUCCUAACGAUAAAUAUGUUGUUGAUCCUGCGGACAAAGCUUCAAAUAAUAUUGUCUUUGUAUGUAAAUUGUACUACUAGGAUAAGA